UGUUCAGAUUAGUUCUUCAAAAAGAAGCCCCAGAGAACUGACGUUACCUCAGGUUCACUGAAAUCCUCUUUCUCUCAAGGAUUAUACUUGAAUUUGAAGCCAGUCUCCUGAAAGCCUCAGGCAGGUGGUCAACUUUGCUAGUGUGCGCCUUGCUGAGCACACAGGUGUUUCUGGACCCUUUUUCGAGUCUGGUUUUUCUGCAAGCCGAGUCUAGAUCUUUGGCACCAAUGGCGGCUGCCUCAGGCCCCCUCGGAGGUGGUGAGUACAAAGUGCAGGUGUUCCUGCCUCAGGAAAGUGUCUGCUGGGCCACCAGAGGUCUGAUGCUAUCAAACUACCUCAGAGCCAAGGAAUGUGCGUCUUAAUAGGCUCCCUGGCUGAUUGAUGCUGGUGGUCUCUGCACUCCCUCGGAGAAGCUCUGAAUAACACCGAUGCAAGCUUUCCAAAUGGCUUAACACUGGAGAAGAGAAGAUGCUUUGAAAAAGGAGGUGGAACAAAUCACUUAGAGACAUGGUGGAGGUGGGUGGGGUACGAGGUAUGCUUGGAAUUAACCCAUGUAGAGUUCCCAUGUGUCAUUUUAGCUAUUCAUCUCCUUUGGACCCCAUCACAGCCCUGAAAGAUAAACGUGAUUAGCGCUUUUCACAAAGGAGGGAAGUUGAGGUUCUCGGAGGCUUAGAAACAUACCCCAGGCUUCACGGGCUGUCAGUAAAGAUCCAGACUUUGAAGCCAUGUCCGGCUGACUCUUAAAGACUUCUUUGCAAAUAUUGUCCUGCCAAAGACUGAGCUGCUACCAGAUAACUUCAUCCAGGGCAAGGCACUGAGUCAGUGUUCAAAGCAUACUUGGUAAAUGAGCAAAGAAUGAGUGAGCAAGUGAGAGAAUAAAAUGGCUUCAGGAUUAUGGAAGGGAGCCCA
rnacentral:lncRNA from 1 species